rnacentral:lncRNA from 1 species
GGUGGGAGUGGGUGGGGGCCCAGGGAGGAGCCCAGUUUGGAUCUUAAGGACAGAGACUGGGCUGGGACUAGGGUGAGGCCAGAACCCAGAGGAAGGAGAUGGGAGAGAGGUCUGAAGUCAGAGGGCUAGUGUUUGUCCCUGUGUCCACUCCCCCAGGGAGAGGGAGUGGAGACGGUGAGAGGAAGAAAGGGCAGUCCAGAGCUGGUUCCAUCAGCGAAACCCCAGGGGCAGCAACUUGGCCUGGCUUGGCCCCUCACUGUGGGAUCUGGGUGCAGCCCUUCCUUGCUUGAGCCUCAGUUUCCCCACCCUGCCAGAGGGAGGGUUUUAGGAG